GGAGAUACAGGCAAUCUGGCUGUGUUGUCUGCCACCUUGAUGAUUGCCAGGGUUGAUUCAGCUGAUCUAGCUGGCUAGGCAGGUGUUUUUUACUUCCUCACUGUUCCAUGUGUGUCUGUGAACUUGGUCAAAGACCUUUUCCGAUGGAGGAGGGCCAUUCUUCAGUCAAGGGAAACUGAGCAGCUAUGCUCCUCUGCUAGAACCUCCCCACGAGCUCGUAUUCUGAUUUUUGGAUAUAGUUUUACUUAAUUGUAUAUUUUCAGAUAUUGGCUCUUAUUGUGCCUUCCUUC
rfam:Heterocephalus glaber contig32765, whole genome shotgun sequence.